rnacentral:tRNA from 1 species
AGGGGUAUAACUCAGCCUGGGAGAGAGUAUUGGUCUCAUGCGCCGAAAGUCAGGAGUUCAAAUCUCCUUACCCCUA